AAAAAAGAAAAUCCACACACACACACACGCUAGGGCACACCACAUGCUGAAUCGAAAAAGGCAAAUCGCCGACGGUGAAAGGUGAAUCGCCAAUGCUGCGACAGGAAGCCAUCUUGUGAAGCUUGCCAAAGUCGAUUGCCACCGUACUACACAUCAUUGGCAUCGCAAAAGACUCACGAAGAUCUCAACUGAGCUGAACGCCGCCCAGGUACACAUCUGCGACGUCGAAGCAUAAUUCAUUGGCCCAAACACCACCAACCGUCAAGUAGUGUUGCCUGACCUGCGUGGUUAGUCCAAAUUGCUUCUACACGUACGUCUCCUCGUACCCUUUCGAAAAACAAAGACAUUGCUCCAAAGAAGUCAAGCAAUUUGGAAGAGACACACAAGUAGUUAAACCAUAAGGCCUCCUAGGACAGUGACUCAAUCAGAAUUUUUCUGCAGUUAAUUGCCAGUGAGAUAACAAAAGGAAAUUGGCCAUUCCUAGUCCUUAGCCAAGCAAAGUACAAGUCGUUGGCAAGGAAAUUUGAGAAAAAAACAGGACGGAAACAUGGCCUCAAACAGUUGAAGAACAAAUACAUGAGUCUCAAAAAAGUGUCUGAUGAGUGAUAGGACAAGAUGGAAUCGAUAAACAAGGUUUGUGCAAAGUUCAGGAAAAAAAAACUUUGGAACAUCGCGAGCUGACGGAGACAGUCUUUAUAGGGGCUUCAGCUACAGGUAAACACCAUUGGACCCCGAGAAAGAAAGUUGUUGAAGCGGCCGAUGUCUCAUCCAAUUCUAUGGACAGUAUCGGCGCCCAGCCAUUUGUUGAUCCAAUAACUGCACGAGCAAAGGACGUGGAUUCAGAUUCUUCAAUCGAACCAGUUCAGGCUGACGUUAAAAGGAAGCGGACUCCGUCAUCAAGUUGUGGAAAGUCGAAGAAAGCAACAAGUGGCGCAUCAAUUAUAGCAGAAAGCAUGAACAAUCUUACAAAUGUAGUGCGUACCUAGAAUCAGCAAGUUACGGUGAGGCACCUGACAGGCAACGAAUCAUUGUACACAAUUUCGGAGUGCAUGCAAAGGCUUAGCAACAUUCUUUCCCUUCUCGGUACACCGUUAUUCCAUUAUGCGUCGACACUGAUGGAAAACGCAGAUUCCCGAAAGGUGAUGAUGUGUCAGCCUGAUGACAACCACAUUGUAGGCUGGCUGACACAGAAACAACUGUAGUCGAGUGCGGCGGCGCCAUUUGCCAACCUAAACGAGGCUCCCCGUGUUUGAUAACAGUGUCGUGCUAAAGACGCGUUCCCUUCUCUUUCUUUACAAAACUUUUAAUUACGUUCAUGUUGGACUUGUACUAAACAGGAUGGAUGUGGUGUUUUUUCCUUUUUUGGUUUUUUUUUUUUUUUUGGCCCGUUUUUAUAAGACUUAUUUGCAUGUUUGUGUAUGUUUGUUGAUGAUUAUGUAGGAUGGUUGUGUAUUUUUUUUCAAAUGGAACAGGAUGGUUGUGUUUGUUAUUA